rfam:Nicotiana sylvestris Nsyl_contig63298, whole genome shotgun sequence.
UAGACAAUUAUUGUAUUCGACUGUAUUCACGAUAUGUAUUUGUGAAUACAGUAACGUAAAUAGCGCAAAUCGUGGUUUAUUCAGUUGUUUUUAAAUGGAAAGUGAAUCAAUUAACACAAUAGACUCCU